AUCCUGUGAACGACCCUAGAGUACAUUUUUUAUUUAUCUGUAGCCCUUAAAUUUCUCCUCUCUUGACUUGAUCCUUGAGGGCAAGGACCAUAUGUGUUCACUAUCGGCAACUAGCCCAGCAGCACACAGAAGCUGAAUGAACUCUGGUUGAAUAAAUGAAUGAGAAGUAAGGUAUGGGUACCUCGCGUUUUGAGCAGAAGGCUGCUAAUUUCUCACGUGAUCUUUAUCAAGAAGUACAGAAUCAGUGAGCAGCAUACAGCUACAGGAACAUGUCUCAGGUGGGUUGUGAAUUAUACAGCCAGAUGGCCUCACCUCCCCCAGGACUGUUACAAAGUCAUAUACAUUC
rnacentral:lncRNA from 1 species